UGGCUUCAAAAUUCGUAUUCAUAAUAAAAAAACAUUAUUAACAAGAUCUGAUAUCAGCCAACAGUAAAGGACCCAGUAGCAGAAUUACUGGUAAGUAUCUAUUGAAAAUCUCUACUCCAUUCAAGCUUACAUAUGCAAGAGGUACACGAGGAAUGUCGAAGUAUGUAAUAUGUAAUGAAUAACGUUUUGCAAUACAUAAUGAACAGACACUAACAUGCUAUCACAAUGCAGAGAAAAUUAACAUAACUGCGCCAUAGAGGAUCAUCAGCCAGUUGAAAUAAACGCUUGUGCAUUAGAACAUCUUCUGCGAUCUCCACAUUCACAUCCAGUGCAUCCAUGCAAUGCAGGAGAUCAACAACGUUAAAUUGAACAAUAACUUACUGAAAUUAGCCAAAAUCUGAGAGAGAGAGAGAGAGAGAGAGAGAGAGAGAGAGAGAGAGAGAGAAAUUGAAAAUCAUCCCUAACAAUUGAAUUUUGAAAUCAAAGUAUCAGACAAUUUAUGAGUCGUGCUCCAUUGUAAUCUGCUUCAAUCAUAAAGACUCCACCAUCAACACUAACCAUAGAUGAAAUUAAAUUACUAAGAAUAAAUAAGAAUCAAAGAUACAGUAUCGAGAAAAAAACAAACAAACAAUUAAAAAGAAACAAAAGAAAAAAACAGAGAGAACUUUUAACACAAGAAAUCUAAAAAGUAAUCAAUGCAGGAAAGAUUGAAUAUCCCCAAAAUAAAAAUAAAAGAAAAACAAGAAAAUAAGCAAAUAAGGAACAUAUGCAUGCAAUUAUGCAACAAAAACACUAAAAUUCAAAUAUAUACGCACACGAAUAAACACAAAUCACACACAUACAAAUAAACAUAUAAUUAUGUACAAAAUAGAGAUCGGGUACUAUUAAUGGAACUGAAUGGGGAGGUGAUUAAAGUGAGCCCAGAGCCCAAAUUUCAUUGUCAAAACCAGGUUGUUUACCCUCCUAAAUAUUUGAUUCUCUGAGCCUACAAAAGAACUCAUUGUACGCAUCAUGUUUCCUUCUCUGCUGUCCAGAAUUUUUGGCAACGAUUACAAACAUGUGAACAAGGCAAAAUAUUCAUACUGUGUACCUUUGACUGCUACUUCCAGACUACAAUUUGUAUCUGGAUCAAUCGAAAAACUAGUUGAGGAUCACCAUAUGACCCAGAUGCAACAUUAGUCUCAGAUUUUAGAAGUUGAGGAUCAAUUUCCCAGAC
rnacentral:lncRNA from 1 species